GAUGAACGCUGGCGGCGUGCUUAACACAUGCAAGUCGAACGGAAAGGCCCCAGCUUGCUGGGGUACUCGAGUGGCGAACGGGUGAGUAACACGUGGGUGAUCUGCCCUGCACUUUGGGAUAAGCUUGGGAAACUGGGUCUAAUACCGAAUAUGACCACUUCUUGGAUGUUGUGGUGGAAAGCUUUUGCGGUGUGGGAUGAGCCUGCGGCCUAUCAGCUUGUUGGUGGGGUAAUGGCCUACCAAGGCGGCGACGGGUAUCCGGCCUGAGAGGGUGUACGGACACAUUGGGACUGAGAUACGGCCCAGACUCCUACGGGAGGCAGCAGUGGGGAAUAUUGCACAAUGGGCGCAAGCCUGAUGCAGCGACGCCGCGUGGGGGAUGAAGGCCUUCGGGUUGUAAACUCCUUUCGCUAUCGACGAAGCCACUUGUGGUGACGGUAGGUAGAUAAGAAGCACCGGCUAACUACGUGCCAGCAGCCGCAGUAA
rnacentral:rRNA from 1 species